AUCCGUCUCUCCAGGCCCACGUGGGGAGCGUAGUUCCUAGCCCGGUCCCGCCAGAGCGCUUCCCGGCAGCCUCCCAUUUGGGCUUGGUGAGGCUGGGCGAAGGUUUCUUCCUAAAAUCCUCCUUUUUCAACUUCGCUUUUUGUUGGGAGACUCCAGCAGACUUCUCUGCCAUCUGACGGAGGAAUUGAGGGUUGAGGAAGGGGACCGAGGCUAGGGUGUGUGUGACAAGUUCCUUGAGUUUUGUUUUGAGAUGCCUGGGAGAGGGGAUUUGGAGAAAGAAUUUUUCGGGAGACAAGUAGGUGACGGAGGUGUCGAGAAGGAUCUAGGACUUCUGGGGCUUUUGGAAGGAGAGAGGAAGGUAAACUUUAAUGCUUCUUUGCUGGGCUAUGACAUCUGUAACUUCCCAGGUGGAGAUUUAUUAACUUUGGAGCCACUUUGGAGCCUGUGGUUCAGAACUUUACCUGAAAGCGCGUAAUGGGAAUUAACAUCUUUUAUGUUGGCUUCUCCUUUCCCCAUCUGUGAAGGUUGGAGUGCUUCAGGAUUUGAGUCUAGGCUUCCUUCUCUGCCUGACAUAGUGUAAAAAGUAGUUAAAAGCACACCUCUGGAGGUAAACUGCUUGGGUUUGAAUCUCACCUCUAAUUAGUUGAAUUGACAUUGGACAAAUUACUUAAUCUCUAUGUCUCCUUUUCCUUUGAUUUGGGAAUUAAAAUGGGCUGAAUGUGUUAAUAACUAGCACACUGUCUGGGACAUAGUAAGUUUACACUUACUCUUAGCUGCUGCUGCUAUUAUUUGUAGUAGUAAUAGUAGACCUUCUUUAAGGUCCCUUCUCAUGGCUUUAAAUUAUUCCUAGCAUAAUCUUUCUUACCAGACUUGGGUGUUGUAUGCCUCUCUUGAAUACCCAACUGUCUGCUUGACAUCAUUAUUUGAAUAUCUUAUAGGCACCUCAGAUUUAACAUGUCCAAAAUAAAAUUGUUGACUUCUCCCCGUCAUUCCUCUAUCCCCCUUGUUGGUCCUACCUCAGACUCUCCCAUCUUAUUAAAUGGAACUAUCGUCUACCAGUUUGAAUAAGUCAGAAAACCUAGGCGUUAACCUACUUGGUUCUUUUUUUUUUCUUUUUAACCUUCAACAUCCAGUCCCUCAGAAAACCCUGUUGAUUCCACGUUCAUUGACCUCGCAGUGAAUUCAAGGCCCACCAAGAUGUUGUGUUUAGGUUUACUUCCUAGCAUUUCCAAGCUUCCUAGGAACUAUGCAUUCUAACCACCAAAACUAUUUGGUGUCACCUCAGAUGUCACCUCACAGGGACCUUCCGACUGAUCUAAAGUGGCCCCAUCUGUUCACUGAUCCUUAUGUCACCCUGUUGGGCCCUUGUUACUGUUCGAAAUUGUCUUAUACUUGUUACUUGCUUGUCUUCUCACACUGAAAUACCUACUUCCUGAGAGCAGGACCAAUGUCAGGUUUGUUCACUGCAAUAUUUGCAAGCGCCUAGAACAGUGACUCAGAUACAGUGAAUGAAUAAAUACUGUCCUGUGGUACAGAAAUUUUCUUUAAAAUGAAUCAUGAGGAAACUAGGUUAGUAAAUGCUUUUUAGAAAUUAAUAGUGUGUUGGUGAGAGAAGAGCACAGAAGUGAGGCUAGAAAGAAGACCAGUUAGCUUCAUAAACUUGUACAUAUUUCUUCGUUAUUUUAAGUGUCAAUGUCUUAUUUGUAAGAAAAAUCAUUAAUGUUGUUUGAACACCUACUGUUUACAAGACUCUGUGGCAGGAUGGUUUGGUUAGAUUAUGUGUGAUCCUCACAACAGCUUUGAGGGUAGAUUUAUCUCUGCUCUAUUUACCUGAUGGUUAUUCAGACCUAAUGAGAAAAUGUUGAAAGUGUUUCGUAAACUGAAAGGAAUAAUUCAGAUUUGUAAAGGGCUUAUACUAGGGUAUGACAUGUAUUACUGUGUGUGUGUGUAUAGUUUAUCUUAAUUUAUUGCCCAAUACUGGUCAAGAGUCUUCAAGAAUCCCUUGGGGGUAUUUACGUCUGUUUAUUUCUGUAAUAAAUGUCAUCUGUCUUUGAAGUUUAGAUGCUUUGAAUGAUUUCUCUUUCUAGUUGGCUGCCUUUUAUUUUUGCCAUUAAAUUUCUCUGUCUUUUA